GAUGAACGCUGGCGGCGUGCCUAAUACAUGCAAGUCGAGCGAACGGACGAGAAGCUUGCUGCUCUGAUGUUAGCGGCGGACGGGUGAGUAACACGUGGAUAACCUACCUAUAAGACUGGGAUAACUUCGGGAAACCGGAGCUAAUACCGGAUGAUAUUUUGAACCGCAUGGUUCAAAAGUGAAAGACGGUCUUGCUGUCACUUAUAGAUGGAUCCGCGCUGCAUUAGCUAGUUGGUAAGGUAACGGCUUACCAAGGCAACGAUGCAUAGCCGACCUGAGAGGGGGAUCGGCCACACUGGAACUGGGACACGGUCCAGACUCCUACGGGAGGCAGCAGUAGGGAAUCUUCCGCAAUGGGCGAAAGCCUGGCGGAGCAACGCCGCGUGUGUUAUGAAGGUCUUCGGAUCGUAAUACUCUGUUAUUAGGGAAGAACAUAUGUGUAAGUAACUGUGCACAUCUUGACGGUACCUAAUCAGAAAGCCACGGCUAACUACGUG
rnacentral:rRNA from 1 species